rnacentral:tRNA from 1 species
GGCUCCGUAGCUCAGUGGUUAGAGCACUGACCUGAUAAACCACAGGUUAUGAGUUCAACUUUCAUUGGGGCCU